GUUUCUUCUUCUUCUUAUAUAUAAUUUAACAGCAAUUGCAGGAGGAUCACCUAAAACAAUAACAACUUUAACAUAGUCAGCUGCAGUCUCUGUUCUUUUCUGGAGAGAAACAAAAGUUGAUUGAUGGAUGUUAACAUGUUGAAUUCAAACAUUUAUUCAAAGUGUAAAAGUUUGCAAUACAAACACAUUUAAAUGUUAUCCAGAUCAUGCACCAAAAUCAACGCUCAUGUUCAACAAUCAUCUAGGAGUAAGUGCGUACGAAAAUACAGGCCAUUCUCGAAGACGAUCAAAUACCGAAGUUUGACAAUUGUGACCAAGCUGUGGUAGCUACAGACAUGUAUUUAUGCUCAUUUUAAUCUCUGUAUAUUUUAGAUCAGCGUUUUCCAAACUGUGAGGCGCG